AACGAACGCUGGCGGCAUGCCUAACACAUGCAAGUCGAACGAGACCUUCGGGUCUAGUGGCGCACGGGUGCGUAACGCGUGGGAACCUGCCCUUAGGUUCGGAAUAACUCCCCGAAAGGGGUGCUAAUACCGGAUAAUGUCUUCGGACCAAAGAUUUAUCGCCUUUGGAUGGGCCCGCGUUGGAUUAGCUAGUUGGUAGGGUAAAAGCCUACCAAGGCGACGAUCCAUAGCUGGUCUGAGAGGAUGAUCAGCCACACUGGGACUGAGACACGGCCCAGACUCCUACGGGAGGCAGCAGUGGGGAAUAUUGGACCAUGGGCGAAAGCCUGAUCCAGCAAUGCCGCGUGAGUGAUGAAAGCCUUAGGGUUGUAAAGCUCUUUUAACCGGGAUGAUAAUGACAGUACCGGGAGAAUAAGCUCCGGCUAACUCCGUG
rnacentral:rRNA from 1 species